AUUGAACGCUGGCGGCAGGCCUAACACAUGCAAGUCGAGCGGCAGCGGAAAGUAGCUUGCUACUUUGCCGGCGAGCGGCGGACGGGUGAGUAAUGUCUGGGAAACUGCCUGAUGGAGGGGGAUAACUACUGGAAACGGUAGCUAAUACCGCAUAACGUCGCAAGACCAAAGAGGGGGACCUUCGGGCCUCUUGCCAUCAGAUGUGCCCAGAUGGGAUUAGCUAGUAGGUGGGGUAACGGCUCACCUAGGCGACGGUCCCUAGCUGGUCUGAGAGGAUGACCAGCCACACUGGAACUGAGACACGGUCCAGACUCCUACGGGAGGCAGCAGUGGGGAAUAUUGCACAAUGGGCGCAAGCCUGAUGCAGCCAUGCCGCGUGUAUGAAGAAGGCCUUCGGGUUGUAAAGUACUUUCAGCGGGGAGGAGGGUGUUGAGGUUAAUAACCUCAGCAAUUGACGUUACCCGCAGAAGAAGCACCGGCUAACUCCGUGCCAGCCGCCGCAGUAAUAC
rnacentral:rRNA from 1 species